GUAAUUGUCAUACCUGUGGUACACUGUCUGAUAUACCACAAUUUUCAACUAAUCAGCUUUCAGGGCUCAAACCACCCAGUUUAUAAUUCUAAAUAAAUCAAUUUUGCGAUUGUGCAUAAGUAUAGAUAAAUCCGACAGGAGAGUGAGUGAUGAAAGUUGGACAGAGGAUCUUGAAAUCUCUGUGCAAGAAACCAUUGGAUGAACUUUGAAAAACGAAUGUUGGUGUCCCCAGGACUGAGUUUGGGAAAAGCUGCCCUAGAAUCUUCAGACACAGAUUAACACACAUACACAGAUCUGAACAGCUGCAUCAGAGGCUGUAUUGGGCCGGAGGGCACAGAGGAAUGGAGCAUUCUGAUUGGCACUUUCUGGCAGACCCUGUGUAUAUUAAUUUGGGAGUCUGUUCUGCAGGCUGUUUAGAACCUGGAUGGCCCGAUACCACUGGGAGAUAUCAAAAACACAGACUGAAAUCUACUGAUGUUAUGGACACACACUCUGGGUGAUACUGGCAGAGUGAUUGUAUGGACAGUUACAGCCCUAAGCCGACUCCCACUACAAAUGAACUCUGCAUUUUUGUCUAGCGAGCAAAUGGAUCUGACAAGCAGAAGGGCCUUAUGUUGUGUAGGAGUGACAUGUGUAUGGACACACACUGUGAGAUACGGGGUGAUGUUAGGGACACAGAAACCCUCAGUAUGAUACAGACAGUGACGGGGUGUUGAACUGCAGUACAGCGUCUGGGCUGUUCCCUGGAUCCAUGGACCAGCACAGGGACUCCAGAAGGCACAGUUGUGGACCUGGACCUAGAAUGAACAGUUGCCAUGACGUUCCACCGCUUCUGCUCCUUUCAAUUUCUAUUUUUGUGAUUGUUGUUUAUUGUGUCUCUACGAUUCCAAAGGUUCCCUGGUACUCCUUGUCCUAACCUCAACAAGCUGCAACCACAGCCAGGCUCACUUUAUUGAAUGAAAUGUUAUAAAGGCUUGAUGUUGGUGUCUUUUGUA